AUCAAUGGAUAUUUUUCUCUAGCUAAGUUAUUAUACUUUUUGAUUUAAGUUCUGAUAUAUUUAGCAGAUGCUGCAGUAUAACUACUGCAAGGAGGUUAAUUUCUAAAUUGUACUUCAAUGCUAAUUUUUCCAGCAUUUUGUAUAUUUUGAUAGUCCUAGUUGUAUUUGUUAACAAAAUCCAACUACACAAUCUUCGGGUCCUCGUCGUCGGCCGAAACAGGUAAGUCAAUUCAUCUCUACACAACUGCCUCUAACACUGUCAGUUAUAAUAACUCUAAUCACGUGCGUGUGUGUGUGUGCGUGUAACAGAGAAAAGGUGAAGCUCUCGUUGUUUUUUUGGAUGACCGGGUUUAAGAUUGGUGAUAUUCUGCAGGGCAGACUCACUUUCAAUUGUCUUCAACACUAACCUCUUCAUCCUCUAAACCACUCAUGUUCCCAGGUCUGAAGCUUGAAUGGAUGUGGUUGAAAGUUGUUAUGAUGCUGAUCUGAGUUGUUGUGAAUUUGUGAUGAUGAAGGAAAUGGAAGCUACCGUUGUUGACAGCGGCAAUGGAACCGAGACUGGACAUAUCAUUGUGACUACUAUUGGUGGUAGAAAUGGUCAGCCAAAGCAGACUAUAAGCUAUAUGGCAGAGCGUGUUGUAGGACAUGGAUCAUUUGGAGUUGUCUUCCAGUUGUUUUCUAGGUCAAUGAAAUGAGAGAUAGACCUUCAUGCAAAGUUUCUCAAUGUUGAGAAUGUACUUGGCUUACACGAGGCUCUUCGGAGAUAAAUAGUAGCUUUGAUGAAUGUAGAAGGAAUCAAUAGGGAACUUGUUGCAAGCCAUAUCCACAUUACAUUUUCUUUAAUAUUGUUAUUUACAAAUCUGUUGUUGCUAAAGCAGCUGUUGCUAAGUUAUAUGAGUGAAUAAAACAGUGCAUCUGACAAACUGGCCUUAAAGUGUGUAUACCAACCUUGUUUAGUUGAUUAACUUGAAAUUUUGUAUAGCUUUUGAUUUGGCUGAAUAUGAGUAUUUGUUUUUGGCAGUAUGUUUGGAUGGACCAUUGCCUGCUUAUCAUUUCAACCGUGGAUUCGGAUCGGGAGCAAACAGCUGGCUUGUUAAUUUAGAGGGAGGUGCGUGGAUCAUCAAAUUUCAUGGAGAAGGCGAUUCCUUUUAUGGGAAUAAUGAGCAAUAAUGCUCAAGAGAAUCCAGAUUUUUCAUCAUAUAAGUUUCCUACAAAAUGGCUGGCCAUCAAUCUCACUCAGAAUUAUGAUUAUUGUUGUGGUGGUUUGGAGGCCAGAUACCCGGUGGUACCGUAUCUUACUGUUUUAAUCUGAAUGUGAAUCAAGCUAGCUCUGAGGUGAAAAAUUCUGUCUGUUGGGGAUUUCUCAUAAUCCAACUAUUCCGGGAGAGGACGAAGCUAGUAGUCCAGUAAUGAAAGUGAUCAAACAAAUGAAGUUGGCGUCGAUGAAUUAGAUGAAGAAGACCUUAGUAAUAUAAUAAAUUCUGAUUUGUACUGUUUUUCUUGUUGACUUGGUGUAUCUUUUUAACUUAGGUGGACAA